AACGAACGCUGGCGGCAUGCCUAACACAUGCAAGUCGAACGAGAACUCCGGGCUUAGUGGCGCACGGGUGCGUACCGCGUGGGAAGCUGCACUUAGGUUAGGAAUAACUCACCGAAAGGGGUGCUCAUACAGGAUAAUGUCAUCGCACCAAAGAUCUCUCGCGUUUGGAUGGGCGCGCGUUGGAUUAGCUAGUUGGUAGGGUAAUAGCCUACCAAGGCGACGAUCCAUAGCUGGUCUGAGAGGAGGAUCAGCCGCGCUGGGACUGAGACACGGCCCAGUCUGCGACGGAGGGGAGGAGUGGAGUGUAUUGGACGAGGGACGAAGGCGUGAUCCAGCAGCGCCGGGUAAGUGAGGAAGGGCGUAGGGUUCUAAAGCUCUUUGACCCGGGAUGUUAGUGACGGUACCGGGUGAAUAAGCUCCGGCUAACUCCGUG
rnacentral:rRNA from 1 species